AACCAGAGAGAUUGUGACAUAUUGCUGUACCCAAGCCCAGAAUAUUCAAUUUAAGCUCAGCUUCUACGAUUGAUUUGGCAGGAAUCAAAUCCGAGUUCGUCUACAGCUGAUUCGGCAGGUACCAGGGCGUCCGCGAUGGUGAGUGAUAGCACCGCGAUGGUGGUAUUGCUCCAUAUGCCUGAGACCCUAACAAAAGCCUAAUUACAACUCAUAUGCCUGGAGCCAGGACAUGUGCAGGAUGGUGAUGUAACUUUCCUCUCUGGAAUGGGUCCUGCACAAAGGAAUGAUAGUAACAUAUUGCAAAGCCAGACACACAGCCAUGAUGGUCCAAGUUAUAUUGGGAUUCAGCCAAUAGAAGAUAUUUUGCCUGUCAUCCCUAAGCUUAGGACAAUAGGGUCCUGCCCACAAGAAAGAUUGUGACAUCUCACUGGACAAGCACCCACCCAGACUCUGCCAAGAGAGGGGAUUAUUACAUAUUGCAGAGCCCAGCACCUAGGUGGAGUGACUCUCAUCUUUUUCUUCUACCCCGUAUAUAGCCAGCUUGGUGACCUACUAUUUGAGUCUAUACCCAGGCCCAGACCACAGAUGAAAUUGUGCAAUAUGUGGAACAAACACCUAAACAAUAUAUAACACCUUCCUUGGCUCUGUCUACAAAGGGCACUUUUAUAUAUCACUGGGACCAUCAACCAGGUGAUGUUGUGCCAUAUAACUGAGACCGUAUCAAAAGCCUAAUAACAAGACGUAUGUCUGGAGCCCCGAUAUGCACAGGAUGGUGAUAUAACCCUCUUCUCUGGAAUGGGCCCCACACAAAGGAAGGAUAGUGACAUAUUGCAAGCCCAGGCACACAGGCCCAGAGCACAGUUGAAAUUGUGACAUAUGUACACCAAGCAACCAAGCAAUGUAUAACACCUCAUUUGGCAAUGGAAUCGAGGGCACUUUUACAUAUCACUGAGACCAGCGCCCAGCUGAUGUGAAAUAUUGGCCUGAACCCUGCCUACAAAAGCAUUGUGGCUUUUAUCUAGCUCCAUUACAUAAGUGAUGUGACUUCCUUCUACUGCCUUGGCCCUGCACUUAUGGUGAAUCGUGACACAAAAUUGGGUAGAGCAACCAGCCUGGGCCCUGACCAGCACAGAGAUUGAGGCAUAUUGCUGAACCCAGGACCAAGAUGAAGUCACUCUCCUGCCUUGAUCCUGCACACAGGGACCCUUGUGACAUAUAUACAGGCCAAUUGCCUAGGUGAUGUUGUGCAAUAUACCUGAGACCAGAUCAAUGGCCUAAUAAUGACUCUUUUACCUAGAGCCAGGACAUGUGCAGGAUGGUAACUCUCAUCCCUGAACCUUUCCACAGGUGUUAUUGUCACAUAUACCUUUUCCAGCUCCAAAGUGAUUUAAUAAUCCAGCCUAGUUAUAGCCCACAGAUAAUAUUUGGACAUAUACCUGAGUCAAGAACCUUGGUGAUUUGACUCUCAUGUCUUAACAGUGUCCUCAGAAGGGAUCAUAACAUAUCUCUGGACCCAUCAUCUAGGUUAUGUGACUCUCUUCUCCUGCCUGAACCCUGCUUCCAGUGAAGAGUGUUGCAUUUCUAAGCACUGCAUCCAAAUGACAUGAGUUUCUUGCCUGGGCCGUUUCAACAGAAGGCAUUGUGACAUAUCUCUAGGUCUAUCAUUUAGGUGAUAUGACUCUCCUCUCCUGCCUGGACACUCUCCACAAGGGGCAUUAUGCCAUAGAGCUAGAGCUAGCAACCAAGUUUUGUGAAUUUUCUGUUAGGGCCUUGCCUACAAAGAGAAUUUUGGAAUAUUUCUGGCUUAGAAUUUAAGUAAUGUGGUUGUUCUGCCUGUUCAGUAACCACAGAGGAGAAGGUGAAAUAUAUCUAGGCACCGCAAACAGGCAUGAUAAUGAGUCUUGUAUGUGGACCCAGCAAAUAGGAGAAAUUUUGACUCUUAUAACUAGGUUUAGGAACAUGAGUGAUGUCCAGGAUCUCCUUCUGGUAAGAAGGUCACAGAAGAUUGCAACACUCACAAUUAUUUUGUAACACCUUUGGGUUGUAUAGGGAGUGUCGUAACAGGGCCAAACACACAGAGGAAAUUGUGACAGUCAUAUGCACACCUACCUGACAGUAAAGACUUUCACAAUCACAAAUGGAUGAAGGCAACUGUCCUACAUGAAAACAGGACAUGUGUGGUAUUGUACAUCUAAAACCUAGAAUUUUAUUCCAUUGUGACUGUGAUAUAAAUCAAUGCCAAGC
ensembl:lncRNA LINC00293 long intergenic non-protein coding RNA 293